CUAAUCCAAAUAUGACUGGAAGACGAUGUGAAGACAGACACACAGGGAGAACACCAUGUGAAGGCACAGGACACACAGACACACAGAGGGAAGACAGCCACGUGAAGAUGGAGGCAGAGUGAAGCUACCGUGAGCCAAGGAACGCUUGGGGCUAUGAGAAUCUGGGAGAAGCAAGGGGAGAUCCACCCCUAGAGACUUCAGAGAGAACAGGCCCAUGCUGACAACUUGAUUCCAGACUUCUAGCCUCCAGAACUGUGAGAAAAGGACGUUCUGUUGUUUUAAGCCACCCAGUUUGGGUACUUCGUUGCAGCAGCCCUAGGAAACUGAUAAGCAUGGAUCCCAUUUAGGACAUCACAUUACAUUUCAUCAUUAUGUCUCCUUAAGUUCCUCCUGAUUAUGAUGAUUUCUCAGACUUUCCUUGUUUUUGAUGACCUUGACAGUUUCGAGGAGUACUGUUAGCAGUUUCCUCCCCAGUUGUUAGUAGGGGAGAAAUCGGUCACCGAGGCCUCAGCUGGAUCCCUGAAAAAAGCCCUUGCAGUAUUCCACAUUGCAAAAGCCCAGGACAUUGCUGGGAAGAUCUGAGGCUCUGAGUCCCCGCGGCUGGUGGAGGUGACUCAUCUUCCUGACCCCAGCAGAGGAGAGCGGCGUGUUUGGUGCGUACUGUGCGCCUGUCAGCACUCAGCAUCCUGUUGGCCAGGAAAACGCUGCCCCUUCCCGGGAAAGCCUUUGUCUGCAGUUGGAACACAAGCACCCGUGGACAGAGGCCACGGAGUCAUGGAAGAAAACCAGGUUGAAUCCAGGGGCUCCGUGUUUGUAGUGGGAAGAGAGAUGCCCCCAUUUUCCCACCGAAUCCUGUCACCAAAACAAGUAGGCAACUUGGCCUACUUUUGUUCUUGAGGGUUUCCCGGCCCAUUAUUACAACAAAAAGUGGUAGCAGACAUGGUGGAUACCAAGGAAGGCAUAAAGCAAGAAUGGUUUGGAAGAGGUCCAGUGAGUGGUUUCUAUCGCCCCCUCCCCAUCUGGAGGAGCUCGUUCAUCAGAGUCCUCCCCAACCCCGCCGCGACUCCUCUCUUCCCCUGGCCUCAGCCAUGGAUCACUUAUUUACUUAGCUAGUAAUUUACCCCUUCCCUUGCUCCAUAAAAAAGUUGAGACAGCUUAGAAAAAUACACAGAAUAAAGGAUGGACUAAAUGACCACGAUAAGUAAGGAAGAAGACAAGGAAAACAGCUGAUAGAGCAGCAAUACGAUGAGCACACGGGAAUGUCUGUCAGACGAUGCUGUUCAGUUACUACAAGUGGGCUGCAAAUUUGGGCCUAAGAGUGCUAGAAGCCAAAGAAAAGAGCCAGAAUAAUCAGGCAGAAGGUGCAUAUCGGCAAGUCAGAAAAAGAUCUGCCUUUUUAAUGUAGAGACCAGGGAGAGGUGAGGAAUCACAGUUCACAGUUUGCAUGUGGGCCAGGGACUGAGUUAAAGGCUCUUCUGACAUUUUCUCAUUUGAUCCUGGCAAUCAUGUCAGGUGGAUACUAUUAUGACACUCAUUUUACAGAUAAGGAAACUGAGAAUUUGAGAGUAAGUUAGUAGUUUGCCCAAGACCAGAGAGUUAGUCAGUUGUAGAAAUGAGAUUCAAACCUAGGCUAUCAGGCUCCAUGUCUGGGUGCCAAGCUAGGAGGCUAACCUUGCAGGGCAGUGGGGGGCCCUCAGGGCUAUUUCUGCAACAGAUGCAACAGGGAUUUCUGUAGGACUGUGUCUCCUCACUUCUUUCAAUACAAUUCCUAAAUAUAGGCACAGAAGCAUAAAUGUAGUUAAAAUUCUGCGAAAGCACUUCCUUCAACUAAAACAGCUUGUCCAGGUGCUUAGUUCUUUGAAGAUCUAAUUUUCUUCUCUGUAUAGAUGUAUAAACAUUGCAGAUUCUAUCAGGAAGUAGAUCAACAGGUAUUUUCUCAAACCACAGUCAUUUUAAUGCAUCCCAAACCCACUCUAGUACGUUUUAUUUAUUCCUCAGAAGGAACUAGAAGCUGAUGUCUUUAGUCUCUCUACUCCCACGCCUACCCCUACAUGGGAAAUACUCUUAUAGCCUCCAGGACAAUGGAACUCACAACGAAGACCUCUAUUAACCAAUGUCUUGAGGACAACUUCACCUGACGUGUUGUUCUUUUCUUCCAACCUAUUCUUUGUGAAAUGCUUUGGGAAUUGGGUAUUCCCUCUACUUAAGACCAUGUACCAUUCAGCAGCAUUUCUCAAACUUUCAGCUUCCAUAAACCCCUUUACGCUCAUGCAGACCACCAAUUUUAGGUAAAAAUUCAUCACAAUUUUUAGUAAUAAAAACAUCAUACUCUAAAAAAAACCUUUUUAUUAUGAAGAAAUUCAAACACCUAUGAAAGUAGAAUAGUGUAAUGAACCUCUGUGUACCCAUCACUCAGCUUCAACAGUUACUGGCCAAUCUUGUUUCAGCACUACUCACACCAACUUCCUCUUUCCCAUAUUAUCCUGAAGCAAAUCCCAGAUAACACAUCAUUCCAUCCAUAAAUAUUUCCGUAUGUGUUUCUAAAAGAUAUGAACCCUUUCUUUUAACAUGACAAGACCAUUAUCACAACUAAAAGUAUUCAUAAGAGUUCCUAAAAAUCAUCAAAUAUCAAAUUUCCAAUUGUUUCAAAAAUGUUUUAAUUUCUUUUUGUUUGAAUCAGGAUCCAAAUAAGGCUUGCACAUUCCUACCAGAUAGAACAUUAUUUUAAAUAUCACUAAUCAUUUCAUGCAUUUGCAAGAGGACAUCAUUUUCAGUCUCUUCCCAAGGUAUCUGUCCUCUUUGUUCUGGUUUCUUUACUCUGUACUCCAGCAGUUUCUUUCCUUACCUUUUGUUUUUGCUAAGUUAAGCAUUCCCAACUCACAGUUAUAGGUUGCUGGAAACAGUACCAAGUAUCUGGUAUUGCAUUAUGAUGGCCAUGGAUUCAGAAGUGAGACAUUUCUCAUUGAAAAUACUUUUAGCCCAAUUACAAAACACAUUCAAAAUCCAGAUGGAUGCAUGCUUUAACUUGGGAGAUGGGGACAAAAUGGGUCCUUCUCAUCCACACAGACUGCCCUCAGCUCUCGAAAGCAUUUGUCCAACAUUACAGGUAGUUAGUUCUAAACUGUUCCCAAUAGUAGAUUGCUUUCUUCCUAUUAAAGACAAGUAUCAGAUAUUGGGAAAGAGCCAAACUCCACUCAGAGCAGAUUGGACCUCAGUUUGGUCUUAAGAAAACAAUCUGGUUUUUCAAAUAUUUUCCCUUCUAAAGGACCAAGUUCAUCCUUUGGAUACUACAGGUCAGUGCCAGAAAUGACAAGGUAUCUCAGACAAAUAACCAGUGGAUGUGCCGUGAUGGGCAAAGUCAAGUUCAUCCAAAGUUGUGGAAAGGCCCUCUGACAGCAGAGGGGAAAGCAGAGGGGUGGGGGUCAGACUGUUGGAAAGAGCACCUAAAAGGACACUGAAAACAUCCAGACAGGAAGUGAGGUCAGGCGGGAACAGAGCUGAAAGAAGAGGAAGUAUCAGUGUGAGAAAAAGGGGGCUUGGGUCGGAUUGAACAUGAGGGAUGAAUAUGGAGCAGGGAGGAAUCUUCAGUGACAUUUGUGUUUCUGACUCCAGUGCU